UUAGACCCUUUUCUUAGAAGUGCAGACCUGGGUUUUGUUAUAGUGAGAGAGCUUUCAGCAGCUCUCUUACCAGACACAUCUGCAACCUUCUGAACCUCAGUCUCUUUAUUGGUGAAAUGAAGAAUAUGGUAAAAUGGCUGUAAGGAUUAAGGGUUGUCACACAGACAGUACCAGUGACACAGACAGCAGUUAGGAAAAAGGAAACCCCUAACUUGGAGGGGAACUUGGGGCAUUGUUUGCAAUAGCCUAUGUAACAGAUGUCAAUAGUACCUGGCACACAGGCUGUUCAAUAUCCCACAUGCCAAUUCUUACUCUCAUUAAAUACACACACACACACACACACACACACACACACACAUCUGAAACUGCAAAGAUUCAGCUACUACCCAAAGGAAUACAGAAGACCACCUCCAAACUUGAGUUGCUGACUAAGUAGGCUGGGCUAGAUCUGGUUAAAAAAAAAAAAAGCAGAAACCCUGGGAGGCAAAGAAGAAAGAAACAAUCACUUCAUAUGUCUGAUGUUUCUAUCUCUGUGGGUCACAGAGUAUAUACAUGCAAGUAUAUACAUUCAUAGGCAACAUGUGGCCCCCAAAGUGAAUGUGUGUGGGUCACUGAGUCCUUAGGGGAUUCAAACCAGAGCUCUCUCAGUUCGAAUGACCCAAUAGAAUGGGACUGUUUCAUGAGCAUCACUUCCCACAGCAGAGAAAUGAUGGGAACAUCAAUGACACUAGUCUGGGUGAUGUUUUCUACUUCAAAAAUGCCCCUGUGAGCGCUCAAACUAUUCAGGACAACUGAUCAAUCUGUACUGCCUUGCAAAAUCUUCCAAGGUUGAAGGGAGCUACACAGAAAGAAGACAUUUUGGGAACAACAAUCCGAAGUCUGUCCUAGGCUCCAAAGAUGACUGGGGAAAAAAAACAGCUCUAAGUAUUUUCCAAAUCCUUAGACCUUUAAAUAGUCCCUCUGAUUCAUUUCUUAUAAAUUUCGUCCCAGCAAGGACAGCAUGA